GACGAACGCUGGCGGCGUGCUUAACACAUGCAAGUCGAGCGGUAAGGCCCUUUCGGGGGUACACGAGCGGCGAACGGGUGAGUAACACGUGGGUGACCUGCCCUUAGCUCUGGGAUAAGCCUGGGAAACUGGGUCUAAUACCGGAUAUGACUCCAUGACGCAUGUUGUGGGGUGGAAAGCCUUGUGCGGCUAGGGAUGGGCCCGCGGCCUAUCAGCUUGUUGGUGGGGUGAUGGCCUACCAAGGCGACGACGGGUAGCCGGCCUGAGAGGCGACCGGCCACACUGGGACUGAGACACGGCCCAGACUCCUACGGGAGGCAGCAGUGGGGAAUCUUGCGCAAUGGGCGAAAGCCUGACGCAGCGACGCCGCGU
rnacentral:rRNA from 1 species